CGGCUUAGGGGAGCAGCAAAGGAACCAGGAAGUAAGAUCUCCUGGUAAAGUGUUCAUUAACUUUCAACAGCCAUCAGAUUUUUGAAAGGGAGUCUCUUCUAAUUGCCUUUGGGAGGAAACAUUAUUAAGAUAAUUGGCAUGCUGAUCUGGGAAGGUAGACAGCUCUGUCUUGUAACAGAGAUAAAAGUUUCCUUCGCCCGGGAGUCGGUUGUUCCCGGCUGAUCCCGGGAAGCCCCGCCUGAGCCCCGGUCCGGGGCGGGCAGCUGGGAGCCGGGGCGCCGCUGUCACCCGCGCCUCUGCCUGUCACUUAC
rnacentral:lncRNA from 1 species